UACGUAGGGUGCGAGCGUUGUCCGGAAUUAUUGGGCGUAAAGGGCGCGUAGGCGGCCGCCUAAGUCAGACGUGAAAUCCCUCGGCUCAACCGGGGAACUGCGUCUGAUACUGGGUGGCUUGAAUCCGGGAGAGGGAUGCGGAAUUCCAGGUGUAGCGGUGAAAUGCGUAGAUAUCUGGAGGAACACCGGUGGCGAAGGCGGCAUCCUGGACCGGCAUUGACGCUGAGGCGCGAAAGCCAGGGGAGCAAACGGG
rnacentral:rRNA from 1 species